rnacentral:rRNA from 1 species
UACAGAGGUCCCGAGCGUUGUUCGGAUUCACUGGGCGUAAAGGGUGCGUAGGUGGCGAGGUAAGUCGGAUGUGAAAGCUCGGAGCUCAACUCCGAAAUGGCAUUGGAAACUACCUUGCUCGAGGGUUGGAGGGGGGACUGGAAUACUUGGUGUAGCAGUGAAAUGCGUAGAUAUCAAGUGGAACACCAGUGGCGAAGGCGAGUCCCUGGACAACUCCUGACACUGAGGCACGAAAGCGUGGGGAUCAAACAGG